AACCAUAGAAACCUGCGGAGUACCUGCGGAGGGAUCAUUAACAAAUCCAAUCCAUUAUUACCUGUGCGAAUGUUCGCGUCGCCGGUGGCUUUACGUCGUCGGCGACUGCAUACACAUAUACACUUUGAUUGUCGGAUGUAACACAUCAAAUGAUCAACAACUUUCAACAAUGGAUCU
rnacentral:misc_RNA from 1 species